rnacentral:rRNA from 1 species
AGAGCGAACGCUGGCGGCAGGCCUAACACAUGCAAGUCGAGCGCCCGUAGCAAUACGGGAGCGGCAGACGGGAUAGUAACACGUGGGAACGCGCCCUUCGGUUCGGAAUAACUCAGGGAAACUUGAGCUAAUACCGGAUACGCCCUUACGGGGAAAGAUUUAUUGCCGAAGGAACGGCCCGCGUCCGAUUAGCUAGUUGGUGAGGUAAUGGCUCACCAAGGCGACGAUCGGUAGCUGGUCUGAGAGGAUGACCAGCAUCACUGGGACUGAGACACGGCCCAGACUCCUACGGGAGGCAGCAGUGGGGAAUAUUGGACAAUGGGCGCAAGCCUGAUCCAGCCAUGCCGCGUGGAUGAUGAAGGCCUUAGGGUUGUAAAGUCCUUUUAACGGGGAAGAUAAUGACGUACCCGUAGAAUAAGCCCCGGCUAACUUCGUGCCAGCAGCCGC